CGGGCUUAAAUAAAUAAUAUAAACAUCAAAUUUUUCAGACCUUUGCGAAAAAUGUAUACCAUCCGUCGUAUGACCCGAGAGAUACAUACAAUAUAAUAUAACAUUAUCAUAACGUAACCAUUACCGAAAAAGACGGAGGGUAAUGGCGGAGAAGAAUACACAAUAACAUCACCGAGACGUAUAUUAUACACGUGUGACAUCAC